GGAGGGGGGUUUGAGCUAAAUGACAUCCAAGGUCCCUCUGUCAGACUAGAAGACCUCCAAGGUCCCUUUCAGCUCUUCCAAUUCUGUAAGGGUUUCCUGCAUGUGCUGUGGGUUGGACUAGAAGACCUCCAAAGUCCCUUCCAGUUCUGUUCUGACGGAAGUGUCUGCCAGACAAUAAAGGGCUGAAUUUGACCCUGGUGGAGGGAGGAGGCCGUUGUAAAACAGCCCUCUCUAUGACCUCUCCAUCUUGCAGGGCAGCGAUGGUGAGUGGAGCAGGGUAACUGUCCGAAUAAUCCGGACCACCCAGUACCAACGGAAGCGAUGGAAACCUUACCGGUUGGGUAGCCUCUCAGCUUUGAGCCGAUGGCUGAUGAAGACAGUGGUGAGUGUUUCGCCAGCAGGGAGCGAUAAACCUUAUCAAUUUGCCAAUCAAA